rnacentral:tRNA from 1 species
GGGCGGUUAGCUCAGUUGGUUAGAGCGCAGCGUUGACAUCGCUGAGGUCAUAGGUUCGAAUCCUAUACCGCCCA